rnacentral:tRNA from 1 species
GGUUCCGUAGUUCAACGGAUAGAAUAGAAGUUUCCUAAACUUUUGAUCCCAGUUCGAUUCUGGGCGGGACUA